rnacentral:rRNA from 1 species
UACAGAGGGUGCAAGCGUUAAUCGGAAUUACUGGGCGUAAAGCGUGCGUAGGCAGUGCGGUAAGUCUGAUGUGAAAUCUCCGGGCUCAACUCGGAGUCUGCAUCAGAAACUGCCGUGCUUGAGUGUGGGAGAGGUGAGUGGAAUUCCCGGUGUAGCGGUGAAAUGCGUAGAUAUCAGGAGGAACACCUGUGGCGAAAGCGGCGCACUGGACCACAACUGACGCUGAGGCGCGAAAGCUAGGGGAGCAAACAGG